rnacentral:snoRNA from 1 species
GUGAUGCUGUCAGGGUUACGGUGAUAUGUGACCGGAGGCGCUACAGCUGA